UACUUUUUUGGUUUGCUAACAAACCUGAAUAAGACCCUACACCCACUGCACUGCACUAGCCCAAACAUUGUAUCAGAUGUUAAUGGUAUUGGCAAUAUUUAGAAUCCUGUUUGUGUAUUAUAUCUCCCCUGCUUCUGUUUUAAACUCACAAUUCACUUAAGUAUUCAAGCUUCACUUUAGUAUGCAAACUUCUCUCAAUUAGCCUUGACUUUCAUUGGUUCCAGGAAAAUUGUUAACAGGAAUUAUGCAAAGACUGGAGAACGUAGAUUGGCACUUGAAUGGGGAGCAUCUGGAAUAGUAUCACUGUGAUACAGAUGAAAAUGCAGCUGAUAUGGUGCCUGGUGUGCUGUGUUUACCCAUUCUUCCAGUGAGGUGCCUGACCAAAGCCUCUACCAGAGCCCAACGCUAAAAAGUCAUCUUACACACAAUGUGCUACUGUAUGGCUGAAGUGGACAUACAUAUAUUUAAAGGAUGUGGACAAGGCCAUUUUGCUCGGAUUCCAUUUCAUCUUUUACUGACUUCGUUUGAUACUCACAAUCAAGCUGAGGGGAGUGUGGUUCAUGUCUAGGAGGUGUGUCCAAAAUUUGGAGUGUGGGGCCCGAACAUACUGUCGAUAAUCUUCGUGGCGGGGUAGCCUGCUGUGGUUGGCCCUGGACAUCAGACCUUGCUUUCUUUGCUGCCCCAUUUUUUUUGCCUGUUGUGUUACUGAAGUCCAACUUCUGCUGCUCCAGACUUCUUUUGAUGGACCUAGUAUUGAAAGUGAAAUGUUGUUAUGGCCAUUCCUUUACAAACAUACCCUAUACUACAAUGGACACUUUACCUGCUUCCGCCGCGUCAACAUCAUCAAAUGUAAUGGGAGUUACUGUCGGACAACCAGUACUGCUUUUUUCCAACACUGUAAAACCAAAAUAAGAAAUCAUGUAAUCAUGCUAUUGUGGAUACAUCCACCCAUUAUGCUU